GAUGAACGCUGGCGGCGUGCCUAAUACAUGUAAGUCGAGCGAACGGACGGCAAUCUUGUUUCUCUGAUGUUAGCGGCGGACGGGUGAGUAACAUGUGGAGACCCUACCUAUAAGACUGGGAUAACUUCGGGAAAUCGGAGCUAUUACCGUAUAAUCUUUUUAACCGCCUUGUUCAACAGUGUAAGACGGUCUUGCUGUUUCUUAUUGCUGACUCCGCGCUGCAUUAGCUAGUUAGUAAGGUAACGGCUUACCAAGGCAACGAUGCAUAGCCGACCUGAGAGGGUGUUCAGCCGCACUGAAACUGAGGCACGAUCCAGACUCCUACGGGAGGCAGCAGUAGGGAAUCUUCCGCAAUGGGCGAAAGCCUGCCGGAGCAACGCCGCGUGAGUGAUGAAGUUCUUCGGAUCGUAAAACUCUGUUAUUAGGGAAGAACAUAUGUGUAAGUAACUGUGCACAUCUUGACGGUACCUAAUCAGAAAGCCACGGCUAACUACGUG
rnacentral:rRNA from 1 species